GGCAAGUGUCACGCGCACGGAUGAUGGU
rnacentral:sRNA from 1 species